GGCGGGUAUGGUUUGAGUUCAGUGUAAUGCGAAAUAUUUAUACAUGUCUUGCGUUAAUCUGGACCGUUCAUCACGUUUGAUCUCGACCGUCCGAUCUUGUUUAAAGAGAAAAUAAAUCUGAACUGUUCAUCGCAAUUUGAUCUCGAUCGUCCGAUCGCGUUUAAAGAUGAAACGAACCUGUGUCGUUUAUGCGCGCGGGGACGCUUUCGGGCCUUUACAUUAUCAUCACUGACCACCACCAUUGAUAUUAUUACAAUCAC
rnacentral:lncRNA from 1 species